rnacentral:RNase_P_RNA from 1 species
AACGCACGUCACCUUGUCGCUUCAUUUUAGAUGAAGAGGAAAGUCCGAGCAUCAGAGAGCAUCACACUUCCUAACGGGAAGGCACUCAUUUAUGAGUGACAGAAAGUGCCACAGAAAAUAUACCGCCCCUUGGGGUAAGGGUGAAAUGGUGGGGUAAGAGCCCACCGCGUUUAUGGCGACAUAGAUGGCAGGGUAAACCUUGUGAGAUGAAAGACCAAAUAGGUCUUACCACCCUUCGGGGAUGAAGUUGCUCGCUUCAUAGCUUUUGCGGGUAAGAUGGGUAGGUCGAUGGAGCCUAUGAGCAAUUGUAGGCCUAGAUAAAUGACAGGGACCACGUACUUUUUCUUCGGAGAAAGAUCACGGAGGUACAGAACUCGGCUUAUAGACGUGCGUUUUUU